CGGCGGACGGGUGAGUAACGCGUGGGUAACCUGCCUCAUACAGGGGGAUAACAGUUGGAAACGGCUGCUAAUACCGCAUAAACGCACAGUACCGCAUGGUACCGUGUGAAAAACUCCGGUGGUAUGAGAUGGACCCGCGUCUGAUUAGCUAGUUGGUGGGGUAACGGCCUACCAAGGCGACGAUCAGUAGCCGACCUGAGAGGGUGACCGGCCACAUUGGGACUGAGACACGGCCCAA
rnacentral:rRNA from 1 species